UAUUUAGCAGUAUAUGAGUACGUGGAGUUUUGAUCUCCUUAAAAAAGGGUAAAUCCUUUCUUUAUAA
rnacentral:tRNA from 1 species